AGUGAACGCUGGCGGUAGGCCUAACACAUGCGAGUCGAACGGCAGCACAGUAAGAGCUUGCUCUUACGGGUGGCGAGUGGCGGACGGGUGAGGAAUACAUCGGAAUCUACUUUUUCAUGGGGGAUAACGUAGGGAAACUUACGCUAAUACCGCAUACGACCUACGGGUGAAAGCAGGGGAUCUUCGGACCUUGCGCGAUUGAAUGAGCCGAUGUCGGAUUAGCUAGUUGGCGGGGUAAAGGCCCACCAAGGCGACGAUCCGUAGCUGGUCUGAGAGGAUGAUCAGCCACACUGGAACUGAGACACGGUCCAGACUCCUACGGGAGGCAGCAGUGGGGAAUAUUGGACAAUGGGCGCAAGCCUGAUCCAGCCAUACCGCGUGGGUGAAGAAGGCCUUCGGGUUGUAAAGCCCUUUUGUUGGGAAAGAAAAGCAGCAGGUUAAUACCCCGCUGUUCUGACGGUACCCAAAGAAUAAGCACCGGCUAACUUCGUG
rnacentral:rRNA from 1 species